AGAGUUUGAUCCUGGCUCAGAUUGAACGCUGGCGGCAUGCUUUACACAUGCAAGUCGGACGGCAGCACAGGGAAGCUUGCUUCUCGGGUGGCGAGUGGCGAACGGGUGAGUAACAUAUCGGAACGUACCGGGUAGCGGGGGAUAACUGAUCGAAAGAUCAGCUAAUACCGCAUACGUCUUGAGAGGGAAAGCAGGGGACCUUCGGGCCUUGCGCUAUCCGAGCGGCCGAUAUCUGAUUAGCUGGUUGGCGGGGUAAAGGCCCACCAAGGCGACGAUCAGUAGCGGGUCUGAGAGGAUGAUCCGCCACACUGGGACUGAGACACGGCCCAGACUCCUACGGGAGGCAGCAGUGGGGAAUUUUGGACAAUGGGCGCAAGCCUGAUCCAGCCAUGCCGCGUGUCUGAAGAAGGCCUUCGGGUUGUAAAGGACUUUUGUCAGGGAAGAAAAGGCCGUUGCCAAUAUCGGCGGCCGAUGACGGUACCUGAAGAAUAAGCACCGGCUAACUACGUGCCAGCAGCCGCGGUAAUACGUAGGGUGCGAGCGUUAAUCGGAAUUACUGGGCGUAAAGCGGGCGCAGACGGUUACUUAAGCAGGAUGUGAAAUCCCCGGGCUCAACCCGGGAACUGCGUUCUGAACUGGGUGACUCGAGUGUGUCAGAGGGAGGUGGAAUUCCACGUGUAGCAGUGAAAUGCGUAGAGAUGUGGAGGAAUACCGAUGGCGAAGGCAGCCUCCUGGGAUAACACUGACGUUCAUGUCCGAAAGCGUGGGUAGCAAACAGGAUUAGAUACCCUGGUAGUCCGCGCCCUAAACGAUGUCAAUUAGCUGUUGGGCAACUUGAUUGCUUGGUAGCGUAGCUAACGCGUGAAAUUGACCGCCUGGGGAGUACGGUCGCAAGAUUAAAACUCAAAGGAAUUGACGGGGACCCGCACAAGCGGUGGAUGAUGUGGAUUAAUUCGAUGCAACGCGAAGAACCUUACCUGGUUUUGACAUGUGCGGAAUCCUCCGGAGACGGAGGAGUGCCUUCGGGAGCCGUAACACAGGUGCUGCAUGGCUGUCGUCAGCUCGUGUCGUGAGAUGUUGGGUUAAGUCCCGCAACGAGCGCAACCCUUGUCAUUAGUUGCCAUCAUUCGGUUGGGCACUCUAAUGAGACUGCCGGUGACAAGCCGGAGGAAGGUGGGGAUGACGUCAAGUCCUCAUGGCCCUUAUGACCAGGGCUUCACACGUCAUACAAUGGUCGGUACAGAGGGUAGCCAAGCCGCGAGGCGGAGCCAAUCUCACAAAACCGAUCGUAGUCCGGAUUGCACUCUGCAACUCGAGUGCAUGAAGUCGGAAUCGCUAGUAAUCGCAGGUCAGCAUACUGCGGUGAAUACGUUCCCGGGUCUUGUACACACCGCCCGUCACACCAUGGGAGUGGGGGAUACCAGAAGUAGGUAGGGUAACCGCAAGGAGUCCGCUUACCACGGUAUGCUUCAUGACUGGGGUGAAGUCGUAACAAGGUAGCCGUAGGGGAACCUGCGGCUGGAUCACCU
rnacentral:rRNA from 1 species